GCGGACUGAUCUCAAUGGUAGAGCUCCUUGGAUCUACUGAGGGGUUGCAGGUUCGAGUCCUGUAGUUCACA